UUGAUGAUUAGAAGAGAAAAGAAAGAAUUGCUAGUGCUAAGUCCUUGAAUAACUUGAGAGAGUUUGGAACAUAAACAUAAGUGAAGGGGUUGAUUUUAUAUAGGAGUGACUGCAUGAUCCAUUGCACUAGAAGGAGAAGCAAGUAUGAAAAUAUAGAUACUGCUUGAGAGAGACUGCAGAGAUUUCAUGCAAAUACACAUAGAAAAGAAGGUGAAAUGAAGAUGGAGGAGAAAUUGGAGUUAUGUGACCAUUAUGUCAAGAAAUGCUGGUUACCAUCUGAAACAGGAAAAGACAAGAAUGGAUUUUAAUCUACAGACUCUGGAGGAUGUCUAGUGUUGGAAGCUCCUCCAGACACAGCUGCCCCAGCAAAGUGUCAUCAUCAUCUGCAGGGAACUGUGAUUGACCACAGGCACACAGAUUGACGAACGAACCUGAAUAUUCAACAACCUUGGCUCCAAAGGAGUGAGCGGGUCUUCCUUUCAAAGACCCCAGACUGUGCAGGAACCUGGACAAAUGGAGUUCUUCUGAAGUGUGGAUGGAGACUAUGGUGUGAGCACCACUAUCUGCAGGACAGAGAGGAAGCCACUCAGCGUGGGUUCUUAGGAAGCCUAGGGACCUGACUGGUUUCAGGUGAAAGUCAUAGAGCCUGAAUCUUUUGUAUUACUUAACCCCCAGGGCUUCGGAAAAUUGGGGGACAUGGGGGGUUUAGAAUACAAAUACUUUUUUUAGCUUAGAAGUAUUUUAGUAUGUGGGACUCAGGAUGCUCAGUUUUUGAUGUUAUUUUUAAGUUUAAUUUAGUUUAGAGACAUUAUCUCAUUUGCACCCAGUUUUUAGGUAGGUAAUUACCAACACACCUUGCAUGAACACCUAUGCAAAGAAAGAGACAGAAAGAAACGACAAAUAAUUUUCUUUCAGAAAUAUAAAGAACAAUAUUUUGCACCAUCUUUAAGCUUGAUCUAGA